rnacentral:rRNA from 4 species
GCGGAGGGAUCAUUACUGAGUGAGGGCCUUCGGGCUCGACCUCCAACCCUUUGUGAACACAACUUGUUGCUUCGGGGGCGACCCUGCCGUUUCGACGGCGAGCGCCCCCGGAGGCCUUCAAACACUGCAUCUUUGCGUCGGAGUUUAAGUAAAUUAAACAAAACUUUCAACAACGGAUCUCUUGGUUCUGGCAUCGAUGAAGAACGCAGCGAAAUGCGAUAAGUAAUGUGAAUUGCAGAAUUCAGUGAAUCAUCGAAUCUUUGAACGCACAUUGCGCCCCUUGGUAUUCCGAGGGGCAUGCCUGUUCGAGCGUCAUUUCACCACUCAAGCCUCGCUUGGUAUUGGGCGCCGCGGUGUUCCGCGCGCCUCAAAGUCUCCGGCUGAGCUGUCCGUCUCUAAGCGUUGUGAUUUCAUUAAUCGCUUCGGAGCGCGGGCGGUCGCGGCCGUUAAAUCUUUCACAAGGUUGACCUCGGAUCAGGUAGGGAUACCCGCUG